GAGAAUAUCUCCGACUUGGAACUGGAGAUGAACAUAAAGGAGCAGAAGCAGAUCUCACAUUAGUUAUGUUCGGCUGCAUAUUACUGAUUACAGGAAAAGAUAUGGGACGUCUAUUUUGAUUGCCUGAUCCUUGAACAAAGCCUCCAACCUGGACAUCGUCCAAAUUGGUUAGCCCAUCUAUUGAUGGUUCAGGAGUUGAAAGUGAAUCAGGAGUGUAGUAGCCACUGGCUGUGCUAGACAGAGUGGUGCUAGGAAAGAUGCGGACAUAGCCAUACCGAUUGA